AAGAGGCCGAAGCUUUAAUGAUCUGGAAAAUAUAAAGAGAAAAUGGAACUUGUAAUACGUGACUACCAAGAUGUAUUAUAACAUUAUUGCUAUGAUCGUGAAGCCGAUGCAACAGAUGACUAAGUUAUCAGAAGCCUGAUCCCCGCAAUGAUCGAACUGCUCUCUGAAGAUUCAUCAUUGCAAGUCAUUAAUAACUCCUGACGAAGAAUAUCGAUCUGUCCGGUCACGUGAAGCACCUAAAUGCAACUAUUAAUGAUCCGUAAAAAGUACUUUUGAUUAUUAUCAGCAAAAGUUCAGUAAAAAAUUAAAAAAUUUUCAAGUUGCUAAUAAGAAAUUAGAAAAAUCAGAUUAAUCACUGAACUUUAAUGUUCGCAGGAAUCCUUUAGAACAAGUGAAAGGUAGAAUCCCAGGAGAGUUC
rnacentral:lncRNA from 1 species